rnacentral:RNase_P_RNA from 2 species
CAGGCCGAUCGGGCAGUCGCGGCCCUGUGUUGACGGGGUCGAGGAAAGUCCGCACUCCAUAGAGCACGGCGUCGGAUAGCACCCGGGGCGGGGAAACCGCCGAGAGGCGUGAACCUGCCGGAAAGGGCCACAGAAACAAACAGCCACGCGAGUGGUGAUGGUGAAAAGGUGGCGUAAGAGACCACCGGCGUUCGCAGCAAUGCGGACGGCCAGGUAACCCCCGCCGGGAGCAAGGCCAAGCAGGGGCGAAAUCGUCCGUGGACGAUGGGAGACGGCUCGUCUCCAUACGCGCCCUCUCCAACCGUGGAGGGGGCCAGCCCCGGGUAGGCCGCACCGAACGGCGCGGCAACGCGCCGUCCAGAGAGAUGACUGCACAGGCAGGGAGCCCGGCUCCAUUGCUGGACAGAAUGCGGCUUAUAGAUCGGCCUGAGCU